GAAAUGCGAUAAGUAAUGUGAAUUGCAGAAUUCAGUGAAACAUCGAAUCUUUGAACGCACAUUGCGCCCGCCAGCACUCUGGCGGGCAUGCCUGUUCGAGCGUCAUUUCAACCAUCAAGCCCCCGGGCUUGCGUUGGGGACCUGCGGCUGCCCGUAGGCCCUGAAAACCAGUGGCGGGCUGGCUGUCACCGCGGACGUAGUAGACUCAUCUCAUCCAGGGCGUGGCUGCGGGCUCCGGCCGUUAAACCUUCUCAAAGCCAAAGCUUGACCUCGGAUCAGGUAGGAAUACCCGCUGAACUUAA
rnacentral:misc_RNA from 1 species